GGGCGGGUGGCUUAGCCUGGUUAACCGUAAGGUUUUUAGCGCACGACUGAUAAUCGUGAUGUCGGGAGUUCAAAUCUCCUCCUGCCCA
rnacentral:tRNA from 1 species